GACAGAGGGUGCAAACGUUGUUCGGAAUUACUGGGCGUAAAGCGUGUGUAGGCGGCCAUGUAAGUCGGAUGUGAAAGCCCCAGGCUCAACCUGGGAAGUGCAUUCGAUACUGCGUGGCUUGAGUAUCGGAGAGGUUGGUGGAAUUCUCGGUGUAGAGGUGAAAUUCGUAGAUAUCGAGAGGAACACCGGUGGCGAAGGCGGCCAACUGGACGAAUACUGACGCUGAGGAGCGAAAGCCAGGGGAGCAAACGGG
rnacentral:rRNA from 1 species